rnacentral:rRNA from 1 species
AGAGUUUGAUCCUGGCUCAGGACGAACGCUGGCGGCGUGCUUAACACAUGCAAGUCGAGCGAGGUCCAAGGAGUGGCAACACUCCGGAAGACCUAGCGGCGAACGGGUGAGUAACACGUGAGGAACCUGCCCCAGAGACCGGGAUAACCCUCCGAAAGGAGAGCUAAUACCGGAUGCCGUCAUCGGAUCGCAUGGUCUGAUGACGAAAUGGAUUCCGCUCUGGGAGGGCCUCGCGGCCUAUCAGCUUGUUGGUGAGGUAACGGCUCACCAAGGCGUCGACGGGUAGCUGGUCUGAGAGGACGAUCAGCCACACUGGGACUGAGACACGGCCCAGACUCCUACGGGAGGCAGCAGUGGGGAAUCUUGCGCAAUGGCCGCAAGGCUGACGCAGCGACGCCGCGUGUGGGAGGACGCCCUUCGGGGUGUAAACCACUGUUGCCCGGGACGAACAUGCUCUUUCGAGAGCACUGACGGUACCGGGUGAGGAAGCACCGGCUAACUCCGUGCCAGCAGCCGCGGUAAUACGGAGGGUGCGAGCGUUGUCCGGAAUCACUGGGCGUAAAGCGCGUGCAGGUGGCAAGGCAAGUCUGCUGUGAAAGCUCUCGGCUUAACCGGGAGAGGUCGGUGGAAACUGCCUGGCUAGAGGACGGUAGAGGGGGGUGGAAUUCCCGGUGUAGUGGUGAAAUGCGUAGAGAUCGGGAGGAACACCAGCGGCGAAGGCGGCCCCCUGGGCCGCUCCUGACGCUGAGACGCGAAGGCUAGGGUAGCGAACGGGAUUAGAUACCCCAGUAGUCC